UACGUAGGGGGCGAGCGUUGUCCGAAGUUACUGGGCGUAAAGCGCGCGUAGGCGGGGAAUUAAGUGAGAAGUGAAAGGCUGGGGCUCAACCUCAUGCAGUGCUUCUCAUACUGGUUCUCUUGAGGGCGGUAGAGGGAAGUGGAAUGGCUGGUGUAGCGGUGAAAUGCGUAGAUAUCAGUCGGAACACCGGUGGCGAAGGCGGCUUCUUGGGCCGUUCCUGACGCUGAGGCGCGAAAGCCAGGGGAGCGAACGGG
rnacentral:rRNA from 1 species